UACAGAGGUCUCAAGCGUUGUUCGGAUUCAUUGGGCGUAAAGGGUGCGUAGGCGGCCACGACAAGUCACUUGUGAAAUCUCCGGGCUUAACUCGGAACGGUCAAGUGAUACUGUCGGGCUAGAGUACAGAAGGGGCAACUGGAAUUCUCGGUGUAGCGGUGAAAUGCGUAGAUAUCGAGAGGAACACCUGCGGCGAAGGCGGGUUGCUGGGCUGAUACUGACGCUGAUGCGCGAAAGCCAGGGGAGCGAACGGG
rnacentral:rRNA from 1 species